UGUAGUUGAGUUCGUACAAAAAAAAAAAUUAUAUACUUUAACAGUCUAUAUCAAUAUGUUCCGUCAUCUUCACAUCAACUUCCUCAACCUCAACCAGAUCAAACUCCAUACCGACCAACUAUACCAACAGUUGGCUUGAUCAGACCAGAUUUAAAUCAACAUCAACCAGUUAUGGCUCCUCCUUCGACUAGUGGUGGUGUAGUUGAAGAUGAAAUCCAAUUUCAAACAAUGAUGUCUCCUCUAAACACAAAUUAACAAUACUUUUGAGGGAUUUCUGUCGUCGGGUAACAUUCCAGCAAAUAAUGAUGGAGGGAGUGGAGCGAUUGAUCAGAUGAAUUAUUACGAUGAUUGAUGUACUUGAAUAAUUUUAUAAUUUUAUUUUUGGUUUGUAUGAAUACAUUAUAUCUUG
rnacentral:lncRNA from 1 species